AACCAAGCAUGGCGGUCCGCUAUGAUAUAUGCUUUAUGGUAUGGAUAAAAAAAAUGGCAGUGCUGUUGACGUUAGUAAACAAAACACUUCAGGAAACAAUCUAAACUUAUUAAUAUCAAAACUAGAUUUUAUUGCCAUACUGAAGUCGCAUCCAUAGUUGCAAGGAGCUAACAGUAUUACAUGCAUUGGAUCACUGAAGGGAACAGUGAGGGGGAAACAAAGCGCAGUGAGCCGAUGCCAUUCACUGGAAGCAGCCACUCCAAGACCUGGGUACC